rnacentral:rRNA from 1 species
AUUGAACGCUGGCGGCAGGCCUAACACAUGCAAGUCGAGCGGAGCGGCGGACGGGUGAGUAAUGCCUAGGAAUCUGCCUGGUUGUGGGGGAUAACGUCCGGAAACGGGCGCUAAUACCGCAUACUAUCAGAUGAGCCUAGGGCGGAUUAGCUAGUUGGUGGGGUAAAGGCCUACCAAGGCGACGAUCCGUAACUGGGCCGAGAGGAUGAUCCGUCCGACUGGAACUGAGACACGGUCCAGGCUCCUACGGGAGGCAGAAGUGGGGAGUAUUGUACAAGGAGCGAAAGCCUGAUGCAGCCAUGCAGCGUGUGUGAAGAAGGUCUUCGGAUUGUAAUGCACUUUUAGUAGGGAGGUGGCACCAACAGAGUAAGCACAGACUAACUUCGUGCCAGCAGCCGCGGUAAUAC